CCUCGCAAGCGCAAGGACCCGAGUUCGAUCCCUGGUACAAAAAAAAAAAAAGUCCUGUUCUUGCUUCUUAGGUGCAGUAUCUUAUCUGAGGAUCUUCCUAAACAUGCAAUUAAGAAUGAGGGGGUUCUGAGCUUGUAGAUAGGACUGUGAAUUUCCCUAGGGUGUCUGACAGGGCCCCUGUUUCUGUUGUUGAGCCCCUAAUGUCAUUUCCUUGGAACUUUCCUCUUUAGCUUAUCAGAGUUUUCAUAGAACAAGCCUUUCUGCAUCCUACCUGGAAGGUGUAGGUCUGGCUAUUGGGAGACCUUUUUAAUGGGCAUUGAUUAAAGUAAACUUGCAUGGCAACAAAUUAUACUUGGCAAGUAGAUACCAGAAAGCAAAUAUUCAGACUUCCUGGGUGCAGCAUGAUAUUGGCGCCUGUACUGAAUGUGAAUAAUCAAGUACAAAAUGUGUUCUGGAGGAGACAGAUUUGUUCACUGCCACUAGAGACAAAGCCAUCCUGCUUUAGCUGCUGUCAGGCUGAGUAAAUGAAGCCCAGUGGAGCCAAACACAGUAGAUAUUUACCUAAUGCCCCCUUGUGAGUAUGGUUCUCUUCCCCUCUGAGAAGCCUGGUGCUGGUCAUUAUUGAAACCCUGACCAGCCUAGUGCUGGUCAUUAUCGAAACUCUGGGUCUUACCCUCUUCAAAAAGUAAACUUCUGUAUUCCUCCUGGAUGAGGGUCCCAGCACAGUGAAAAGAGGGAAAAGGUUUUGAGAAAUCUUCCUGCUUCUUACGUAGGCACUUAGCCAGCUCAGCUGCUUUUAGCACUAUAUUUACUCUCUCUUCCAGAGGUUCCUGAUGUCACCAUUUCCUGACUUUUGGGGGACUCUGCGAUGUAAAUUGCUUGUUUCUCAAUUCUUCCCACUGUUGGCUUGGGUUUUGACUCUCAUGAGUCUGCUAGGUCAGUUACCAUUCACCCAUUUCCUCACCAGCUUCAAGUAUUUUAUUGCUAUUAUCCUCACUUCUAAUAUCUUUGGUUGUGUGGGUCUGUGCCUUUUGCAAAUCCAUUUACUGUUAUUCUGGUGAGAUUUAGGGAGGGAAUGCAAGUCCGUGUGUGCAUGUAAAGCACUGUCUCUAUACUAAGUCUUGCCCUUAACUUUUUAUCAGUGACUUAACCAAGGUCCUUGGGAAGUUACUGGUCUGUUUCUUUUUCACAUGGUUAGAAACAGGCCCAGGGAACUGAUGGGACUACUGGGAGCCAUAGCUAUAGCAUCAGGACUGGGACCGUAUUUUCUCCAUGUAGAGUCCACUCUUCUCUCCCUGUCCUGUGUCACAAAUUCAAAGGCCAUGUAGCUGUAAUAUUUUUAUCUUCUUUUUGCUUGUCAGAUAAUAAAUCUUUAGCUUAACAUGUACAGUAGUACCUCAGUUCACGAAUGUGUCUGUUUGCAAACAAUUUGGUUUUCAAACAAAGGCAUCCAGCAAAAUUUUGCUUUUGUUUGCAAACUCCGUAUCAGAUGACAAACAUGACCAUAGCCCUCUUCUCCGCACAAACACAGCCAUCUCUCCAAAAUCAUAAAACAAAUUAAGUUUGUAAACUGAAAUACCAUUGUAUUUGAUUUUUUUGUGUGUGCCUCUGUUUAGUAUUUGCUAAAUUUUUUGUUUGUUCUCUCCAGUAUUCAUUCACUGAUUUUUUUGGAGGAGUUAUUAAGUGCCAAACACUCUUCUUGACACUGGUAGCAUGGUAGUGAACAACAGAGGCCUUGCACUUUUGAGCUCACAGAUACUGGGAGGAAGAGAAUAACCAAAUGGGCAGUAAACAGUGAUUCAAGUAGAAACCCAAAUGUGGGGCACAUAUGUCAACUAUUAGGAAAGCAACAAUUCAGUGAAUUUUGUCAGAAGGGUGGAGAACUGGCAAGAUAAUUCUCACUGGAGCAGGAGAAAGUGGUGUUUUUUGUUGUUGUUGUUUUUUUAAAGAAUGAAGUUUCUUGUAAAAAUCCCACAACCCAGGAAGGCUGAGAGCUCUUAACUACGUGUUUAACUGUCCUAUAAAAGAAAGAUAGUAUUUGAGUGAAAAGUGAGCAAGUCCUGCCUUCUUCACAGUCACAGAAGUUUCCAUCUGGUCCAGCUCAUCCUUCUUCCUCUCUUCCGUCUACCACAGUCAUACCUUAGCCCAGCUUCAUGCUCUUUCUCUUUUCACCAGGGCUAGGCUGGAAACUUGGUGAGACCUUAGACCUCUGAAAACAUUGGAGACUCCUGGGAUGCUCCUAAUUAAAAGCAUUUACUUUAGGUAUGUGCUUGCCUUCUACGUGGAGUAUAGCGUGUUCAAUGAAGGCUUGUUGAAUACAAAUUUUGAGGGAUUAGGACAGGCAUACUUAAUUCAAAACCUCCACAUUUUAUUUUGCUCCUUGAAGCACAGUGUUUCAUCCACUCUUAAUUUUUUUCUGCUCACACAACUGAGCAGGCUUAAAUAGCUUACAUUUUUAUAGGACCUUGAAAUUCAAAAAGCUCUUCAUAUGCAUUUCUUAUUUAAGCAUCUCACUCUUAAGAACCCUGUGAAGUAGAAUCUUCUCCUGUUUACUGAAGGGAAAUUUGGUUAAUACACCUGACCCAGGAAAUACCAUAAGUACACCUAGCUCAGCAGUUGGACAAACAGUGGCGGUGAAACUAUGGCAUGCAUGCUGCAGUGGGCUGUUUAUAUCAUUGAAAGCUCUAAAAGGUUCGCCAUCACUGAAGCUUCAAGUCCAGUUUAUGACAAUAGCCCACACCUAGAGGUACAAAUAUACGUAUGAAGGAUGACCUUUCUCCUCCACCUAAUCUUCGCGUUCCCUCUUCCUCUUCUCGCAUUCUUAUUGUCAGAGUUUAAGUGCAUUGUAUUUAGGGGUCACAGAGGCAAG